rnacentral:ncRNA from 14 species
CCAACGGCCCUCUUUAGGGCCACAGAUUCGAAAUCCAAAUUUUAAU